rnacentral:tRNA from 2 species
GGACCAUUAGCUCAAUCGGUAGAGCAUCCGACUCUUAAUCGGGGGGUUAAAGGUUCGAGUCCUUUAUGGUCCACCA